rnacentral:rRNA from 1 species
AACGAACGCUGGCGGCAUGCCUAACACAUGCAAGUCGAACGAGACCUUCGGGUCUAGUGGCGCACGGGUGCGUAACGCGUGGGAACCUGCACUUAGGUUCGGCAUAACUCCCCGAAAGGGGUGCUAAUACCGGAUAAUGUCUUCGGACCAAAGAUUUAUCGCCUUUGGAUGGGCCCGCGUUGGAUUAGCUAGUUGGUAGGGUAAAAGCCUACCACGGCGACGAUCCAUAGCUGGUCUGAGAGGAUGAUCAGCCACACUGGGACUGAGACACGGCCCAGACUCCUACGGGAGGCAGCAGUGGGGAAUAUUGGACAGUGGGCGAAAGCCUGAUCCAGCAAUGCCGCGUGAGUGAUGAAGGCCGUAGGGUUGUAAAGCUCUUUUACCCGGGAUGAUAAUGACAGUACCGGGAGAAUAAGCUCCGGCUAACUCCGUG